UACGGAGGAUCCAAGCGUUAUCCGGAUUCAUUGGGUUUAAAGGGUGCGUAGGCGGGAUGAUAAGUCAGAGGUGAAAGCCAGCAGCUCAACUGUUGAACUGCCUUUGAUACUGUCGUUCUUGAAUAUGGUUGGAGUGGGCGGAAUGUGACAUGUAGCGGUGAAAUGCGUAGAUAUGUCACAGAACACCGAUCGCGAAGGCAGCUCACUAAGCCAUCAUUGACGCUGAUGCACGAAAGCGUGGGGAGCAAAC
rnacentral:rRNA from 1 species